rnacentral:rRNA from 1 species
AAUUAACCCUCACUAAAGAGAGUUUGAUCCUGGCUCAGCCUGAACGCUGGCGGCGUGGCUAAGACAUGCAAGUCGUACGGACCCGCAAGGUCAGUGGCGAACGGGUGAGUAAUGAAUCGCUAAUGUGCCCCGGACUCAGGGAUAGCCGUUCGAAAGGACGGGUAAUACCUGAUGAUAUAACCUUGUCGCAUGGCAGGGUUCUCAAAGGUCCGCSGGUCUGGGAGCAGGCGAUUUCGUAUCAGCUAGUUGGUAGGGUAACGGSCCUACCAAAGGCGACGACGCGUAGCCGGACUGAGAGGUUGGCCGGCCACAUUGGGACUGAGACACUGCCCCAGACUCCUACGGGGGGCUGCAGUAACGAAUCUUCCGCAAUGCACGAAAGUGUGACGGAGCGACGCCGCGUGUGGGACGAAGYCYUUCGGGAUGUAAACCACUGUCAGGGGUUACCAAGUUCUGAGGAGCCCCAGAGGAAGGCACGGCUAACUCUGUGCCAGCAGCCGCGGUAAGACAGAGGUGCCAAGCGUUAGGCGGAAUCACUGGGCUUAAAGCGUGUGUAGGCGGAUCGUUAAGUACCUUGUGAAAUCCCACGGCUCAACCGUGGAACUGCUCGGUAUACUGGCGAUCUUGAGCCACCUAGGGGCAACUGGAACAAGCGGUGGAGCGGUGAAAUGCGUAGAUAUCGCUUGGAACGCCAACGGUGAAAACAGGGUUGCUGGGGGGUGUGCUGACGCUGAGACACGAAAGCCAGGGGAGCGAACGGGAUUAGAUACCCCGGUAGUCCUGGSCCUAAACGAUGUCGACUAGAUCGUAGUGCCUCUGACGGUAUUACGGUCGAAGSAAAAGUGCUAAGUCGACCCGCCUGGGAAGUACGGUCGCAAGGCUAAAACUCAAAGGAAUUGACGG